rnacentral:pre_miRNA from 1 species
AAAAAAACAAACCCUGGGUUUCCGUGUCCAACUUUGACUGUCCGUCUUAUAUGAAAUUUUUUUAUAAUUCGUAUUUUUAUUGUUGUUAGAUGAUAAAACAUGAUUAAUACUUUGUGCGUGACUUGUCUUUUUAAUUUUUUUUCAUAAUUUUUUCAAAUAAGACGGACGGUCAAACGUUGGGCACGGAAACCAGGGUUUGUCUUUUU